rnacentral:misc_RNA from 1 species
GAAAUGCGAUAAGUAGUGUGAAUUGCAGAAUUCAGUGAAUCAUCGAAUCUUUGAACGCACAUUGCGCCUCCUGGCAUUCCGGGAGGCAUGCCUGUUCGAGCGUCAUUAAAAACCACUCAAGCAUCUAUGCUUGGUCUUGGAGGAUGAGGGUGGCAACACUCUCGCCUCUGAAUUGCAAUGGCGGAUUGCCUCUUGAGCCCUAGCGUAGUAAGUUCAUCUUUUCGCCUGGUGCCAUGAGCGGUCUUGCCACCAACCCCCAAUCAUUCCAGGUUGACCUCGGAUCAGGUAGGGAUACCCGCUGAACUUAA